UCAUAUACCUUUUGCGUCUUCUCUGUUUGUUAGGGUUUCAAUUUAUGUGUAUGGCAUCUACUUCUACCUCUGGUGGAUAUGCUUUUCAUACAAUACUAACAUCUGCAUCUACUUCUUUUGCAUCCUCAUCGGGAACUAGACACCCGAACUACGAUGUAUUCAUAAAUCAUUGUGGAAAAGAUGUCAAAGACACGGUGGCUAGCAGAAUCUUCAAUGCCCUCGAUGCUACGGGACUGCGAGUUUUUCUGGACAAAGAGGAGUUGAAGAAUGGUGAUUUCUUCCCUAGAGUUCUAGAAGAAGCAAUGAGUAGUGCUUCACUUCAUAUAGCGAUUCUUUCCCAGAAUUAUGCAGAAUAUCUCUGGUGUUUGGCGGAGCUGGCAUUUAUGGUCGGAACUGGCAAAAAUAUUAUGCCCGUCUUCUAUUAUGUUAAGCCUUCUGAUCUAAUAUGGGCGGUUGAAGGCAAAGGUAUAUAUGCAGAUGCCUUCUCCGAGCAUGAAAAGAAAAAUAGAUGCACUUCAGAAGAGCUUCAGCGCUGGAAACUGGCACUUAAACAAGUUUCGUGUUGUUUUGGGGCCAUCGUAAAAAAUAUUGAUGACGAGCCGCGGGCUGUAAAGGAUCUCGUGAAUCGUCUAAUGAAAGAGAUGAGCAAGGUGCCAUUAGAGGUUGCGAUUGCACUUCAAUCUGUUGGGCCGAUAAAAAUUGUUGGGAAUCUGGGGAAUGGGCGGUUCGGGCAAAACUACUCUGGCGAAGGAACUUUAUAAGAAGAAAAGCUUGAUCAUUGAUAGGUCAAGUUUUUUUUCGGAUCUUCCAUUGCAUGAGAAACAGAAAAGGCUUUUGUAGGACCUUGACCUGAAAUGCAAACGUUCAGCUUUUGACAAUGUAGAUGAAGGCAAAGAGGUUCUAAAAAGUCGUUUGAGAUCUGUUUCUGUGCUUAUCAUUUUUGAUGAUGUGGAUCAUACUGAUCGGUUGGAUGCUCUGUUGCCAGCAACGGGCACCCUUGGCAAGGGAAGUCUGAUUAUUGUUUCCACACGAGACAAGCAUGUUAUUGAAGCUUGGUGCAUCUCCGCCAUUUAUAAAUUGAGAGCUAUGGAUGACACUGAUGCCCAACAACUUUUCUGUUGGGAUGCAUUCUUGCAACCCUCUUCAUUGUUGGGAUUCGAGGAUCUUGUUAAAAAGUUCAUAAAUGCUUGCCAUGGUCUGCCUUUAUCACUCAAGGUCUUAGGAGAUCAACUCUAUGAAGAAUUUCACAAGGAUUAGUGUUAGGCUCAACUAGACAAACUGUCCAGAUGACAUCAAAUUGAGGCUCAGAAUAAAUUAUGAUGCUCUAGAUAAAGAAGAGGAGAAGAUGUUCAUGGAUAUAUCAUGUUUCUUCAUUGGAUGGAGAAACAGUUGGGCAAUUGCAGUAUGGGAUGGAUCAGGGUGGAAUGGUAUACAUGAUUGGUAAAAGCUUGUGAACAAUGUUUGGUUGAAGUAGACAAAAAGAAUCGCAUAAGAAUGCAUGAUCAUUUAAGAGAUUUAAGAAGGGAAAUUGCAAAUCAAAGAUCACCCUAUCAUCUUUGGUUUCAAGGGCAGGUAAUCGAGAUUCAGCCUCAACAGGAAGGAGUACGAAUUCGAGGAAUAGUAAACGCAACUGGAGACUCCUGUUACUCCUCUCAAGGGAAGAUCAUUAUAAAUACAAGCCAAGGAUCUCGUGCUUUCAAGCCCUGCUCGCUUGGAUUAAAGAUUUUAGUGGGUACAGGGCAUUUUUUCAAUCAAGAAAAUGAAUAACUUCUAAAAGAACCGAUCUGGCUUCGCUGUUACAGAUUUCAGCACAGAGAUAUUCCGUCAUGGCUUUCCAUGCAAAAAUUAAGAAUUUUGCAGCUUUUUAUUUGUGCAAACUUAACAGACUCGUGGGACACUGAAGCGAAUCCUCCAUUGCAGUUAAGAGAGCUGAUUAUCAAUAACUGCGGAGUUUUCCGAGGAUUUCCACAGUCAAUAGGACGGCUGGUGCAUCGGAAAGAAAUGAAGGCAAAGUCCAAAUCAUCCGAAAUGAGAAGCCUUCCUAGAGAAUUUUGCUUUCUCCAAUCGCUGGAGUUCCUAAAAUUGUCUAGGUGUAGAAAUCUGUCAUAUCUGCCCAGCGAUUUUGGCGAGUUGACCAACUUGCAACAUCUGGAUCUAUCCUAUUGCUCUCAGGUGAGGUCUUUACCAGUAUCUUUUAAGCAGUUGACACUCCUGCAAUAUUUCAAUUUGGAGGAGUGUGUUGAGCUGACUGUCGAGUCAGAUAAGUUAGACCUUCUGGAAGAUAUGACAAAGUUCAAGUAUUUGAACUUCAAUGGAUGCAGCAAGUUAGAAAAUUUGCCCCUCACCAAUGGAGCGUCUUUGACAGAGCUUUAUUUGGAAAGAACUAGCUUGGGGGAAUUCCCAGAUAAAAUUGGCCAACUAAGCAAGUUGUCAGCGCUCGAGAUAAGUAGUGACUCGUUGACAGCUUUGCCAAGCUUUAUUGGUAAUUUGUCCUCCUUGAAUUCACUGAAAAUCAAAAAGUGCCAAAACUUGAAAUAUUUGCCGGUCUCUCUUGAGACUUUAUCCUCCUUUAACUUCACUCCAUAUCUCUCUUUGCCCCAAACUGGAAUGUUUACCCGAUUCUCUCGGGCGUCUUAAUCUCUUAGAGGAUUUGUCGAUAUCCUGUUCAAAUAUGACUUGUUUGCCAAAAUCAAUUACCCAUGGCAGCGGCAAAAUACAUAUGAAAUACACGAAGGUGUCCGAGAUUUCAAUAUCUGAAGACUGUUGUCCGUGCCUUGAGAUUCUCAUUCUUCAACGCAAUCGUCAUUUGAAGGCUAUCAAAACCCUGCCCAGAACAGUGGAGACCUUAAAAGUGUAUAAUUGCGAGGUCCUGGAGGACAUCGGAGGUAUUUGUGAUCUUGUAAAGCUUCAGACCAUGAAUAUACAUGGCUGUCGAAAGUUAGACGGCCUUCCAAGUUUUUGCCAAGCUGGUUUCCUUGAAAGAACUUGAAUUGCCAGAUCAUCUCAAAAUGAAGAAGAUAGAAAGUUCGGAUUGUUCGGGAAUUGGGAUCAUUGAAGAAUCCCGAAUAAAUGGAUGACAGAACUAGACGCUUUCCCAAGACAGCUAGGAGCAUAGUGAGAAAUUGAUACAUCUGGAAUUGGUAGCAAACUAGCUGCAAUGGUAAGAUCUGCCCAAUGCGAAAAUCUUAGGCCACGUAUCCACAGCAAAUACCGUUAAAAUUGUCGACAGAAGGUUGAGUAGGCUAGGCGGUGCUAAACAUUUUUGCAGGCGUUUUUAGCCUGCCAAUUGCUAUGUAUGGCUGUCUACGCAUGAAUUACCAACCGUCAGACUUUUUUUGGAUCUGUGUCUGCGGCUUCUUUUCGUAUGCCCCUGUGAUUGAACACUUAUUAUUCGCCUUCUAUAUCAAAAUGCUGGCGCAGGUCUUUUGCAGAGUAUGGGGUACGCUUAGGGUUUUGAAAGAUUGAAAUUUGGGCUGCUAUUCAACCCUUCACUCCACGCACACGACUUCCUCUCUGCAGAUCCGUUGGAUGUUCAUUUCCAGACAAGGAUACAAUAUAAGCAAACAAAUUCUGUCAUGCUGAAGAUAAAUUCCACAACAAAUGCUGGCCAUUCUGAAGUGUUUUUUUGGAGGAACAUGGGUUUUUCGAUCAGGGAUAUGAUGAGUUUGUGCUAUUGAAUUUAGCAAAUGAAAAUGCAAUUGAAAAUCAUUCAACCUAUAAGCCAUCAGUCGGGGUUUUGAUAUAAACCAUUCGAAAUUCACCAUCAAAUUAGGGGCUCACUUAAAAUUUUCUGCAUUCGUACCGAGUUAGUUGAGAAUUUUGAAGAAAUUUGUUGGUAGUUAUUUAUUUGUUACUUGUUUAAUUUUAUUAUGUACCUAUAUUUGGGGCAUUUUAUUUGGAGUCGCAUUAUGUGUCACAACCUAGCUGAUACAUCUAAACAGUUAGAUUCUUUUCAUAGUUAAGUAUGCUGAUGAGAUAAUUGUUCUAUUUAUCAAAAAGGGUUGUCAUGAAUCAACCUUGAACUUA